rnacentral:rRNA from 1 species
GACGAACGCUGGCGGCGUGCCUAAUACAUGCAAGUCGAGCGAAUUGAUUUGGAGCUUGCUUCUCUGAUGUUAGCGGCGGACGGGUGAGUAACACGUGGGUAACCUACCUAUAAGACUGGGAUAACUCCGGGAAACCGGGGCUAAUACCGGAUAAUAUUUUGAACCGCAUGGUUCGAUAGUGAAAGACGGUUUCGGCUGUCACUUAUAGAUGGACCCGCGCCGUAUUAGCUAGUUGGUAAGGUAACGGCUUACCAAGGCGACGAUACGUAGCCGACCUGAGAGGGUGAUCGGCCACACUGGAACUGAGACACGGUCCAGACUCCUACGGGAGGCAGCAGUAGGGAAUCUUCCGCAAUGGGCGAAAGCCUGACGGAGCAACGCCGCGUGAGUGAUGAAGGUCUUCGGAUCGUAAAACUCUGUUGUUAGGGAAGAACAAAUUUGUUAGUAACUGAACAAGUCUUGACGGUACCUAACCAGAAAGCCACGGCUAACUACGUGCCAGCCGCCGCAGUAA